AAGCCUGAUGCAGCGACGCCGCGUGAGGGAUGAAGGCCUUCGGGUUGUAAACCUCUUUCAGCAGGGAAGAAGCGCAAGUGACGGUACCUGCAGAAGAAGCGCCGGCUAACUACGUGCCAGCAGCCGCGGUAAUACGUAGGGCGCAAGCGUUGUCNGGAAUUAUUGGGCGUAAAGAGCUCGUAGCGCGGUUUGUCUGCGUCUGGUGUGAAAACACAAGGCUCAACCUUGAGCUUGCAUCGGGUACGGGCAGACUAGAGUGCGGUAGGGGUGACUGGAAUUCCUGGUGUAGCGGUGGAAUGCGCAGAUAUCAGGAGGAACACCGAUGGCGAAGGCAGGUCACUGGGCCGCAACUGACGCUGAGGAGCGAAAGCAUGGGGAGCGAACAGGAUUAGAUAUCCCUGUGUAGUCCACUGCCGUAUAACGUUGGGCAUCUAGAGUGUGGGGCUCAUUCCANGAGUUCCGUGCCGCAGCAAACGCAU
rnacentral:rRNA from 1 species